CGGGUUGUGGGUAGAAAUGUACGGUAACACGUUUUCUUUUGAAUGAGGUUUAGUUGUCCGUAAUUCCUGUAAGUUAAAUGAUUUGGCUCUAGUUAUACCGUGGUCAAUUAUUCUCUUAGGAUAUUUUCGGUCCAAGAGCAUGUAGUUUUGUUCCUUUAGUCUUGUAUACCUUAAUUCUGGAUUUGAAAUGAUAGUACAUAUGCGUUUAGCUAGGUUAUAUGGUAUAUUAACUCUAG
rnacentral:lncRNA from 1 species